AUGGAUGCCAUUGGAAGAGCUGGAACUGGAGGGAUUUGUAGAGAUCAUAGAGGUAAAAUUAUUAUAGCCUUUGCUCGAAGUAUUGGUAGGGAUAUUACCAAUAUAGUCAAAGCCAAUGCUGCUUUAAAUAGUCUGGAAUGGUGUUCUCAACAUGAGCUUAGCAAUAUCAAUUACUCCUUAGCUUCAUGGCUUCUCUUCUUCUUCACCCUUUUUAUUGUAAUUAGAAAAUGGAGGAAUAAAAAAAAAAAAAUUGCCUCCAAGUCCAUGGAAACUUCCCAUUAUUGGAUGUCUGCAUCACUUGAUCGGAGGAGGACUUCCACAUCGCGUUCUUAGAAAUUUAUCUCAAAGAUAUGGACCUCUUAUGUAUUUGCAAAUGGGGCAAGUUCCUACCGUGGUCAUAUCAUCACCUAGUAUGGCAAAACAAGUUCUAAAAACUCAUGAUCUCGCCUUUGUUAAUAGGCCACAACUUACAUCUACAAACAUCAUAUUUUACAACAAUAAAGAUAUUGCAUUCAGUCAAUAUGGUGAUUAUUGGAGACAAAUGCGUAAAAUUUGUACUUUAGAACUUCUUAGUACGAAGAUGGUUAAGUCAUAUGGUGCAGUUCGAGAGGAUGAGCUUUCAAAUCUUAUUUCAUCAAUUCGUUCCACGAUGGGUAAUACAAUCAACAUGACACAAAUUAUUUUUCUGUUUUCCAACUCUAUCAUUUGUAGAUCAGCCUUUGGAAAAAUAUGCAAAAAUCGAGACGAAUUCUUAACAAUUUUGAAGGAAGUACUGUUAUUAGGAGCAGGAUUUUUUGUGGGUGAUUUGUUCCCUACCUGGAAAUUACUUCACAACCUAAGAGGUGAGAAAACUAGAAUGGUGAAUGCGCAUAAGAAAGUUGAUGCAGUUAUGGAGGAAAUUCUGAAUGAGCAUAUCGAAAAUAAAGCAGCUGGGAAGAAGGGAAAUGGUGAAUUUGGAGACGAAGAUUUGGUUGAUGUUUUCUUAAGGGUGAAAGAGAACUCCCAACUUCAAUAUCCAAUCACAAAUGACCAUAUUAAAGCUGUGAUUUUUGACAUAUUCCUAGGAGGAACUGGAUCUUCAUCUUCAACUAUUAUUUGGGCGUUAUCAGAAAUGAUAAAGAACCCGAAUGUUAUGAUCAAGGCUCAAAGUGAAGUGAGACGAGUUUUUAAAGGAAAACAAAAUUUUAGUGAAGAAGAAGUUGAAAACUUGACAUACCUAAAGUCAGUCAGUGAUUAAGGGAACAUUAAGGCUACAUACGCCAGCUCCUCUUCUAGGGUCUAGGGAAUGUAGGGAGCAAACAGUUAUAGAUGGAUACACCAUACCUCUAAAGGCUCGAGUACUAGUCAAUGCAUGGGCACUCGCAAGAGAUCCUGAAAGUUGGGAUGAUCCGGAAAAUUUUAUACCAAAAAGAUUUGAGAACUCUUCUAUUGACUUUAUGGGAAAUCAUUUUGAAUUUAUUCCAUUUGGUCCAGGACGAAGGGUGUGUCCAGGGUUGUUAAUGUUAUACAUCCUUUAGCUCAGUUACUCUACCACUUUGAAUGGAAACUCCCUAAUGAAACUAAUCCGAAAGAUUUGGAUAUGACUGAAACGCAUGGAUUAACCGCGGAGAAAAAGGAAAAUCUAUAUUUAAUUGCCAUAGAUUAUAGAAACAAUGAAGAAUUUUGA